CCCUUAGAUGUUCUGGGCUGCACGCGUGCUACACUGAUAUUGCCAAUAUGUCAUUCUUAUCCGAAAUGGAUUGGGUAAUCAAGUAAUGAAAUUUCAUGCUUGGAAUCGGUAAUUGCAAUUUUAUCGUGAACGAGGAAUUCCUAGUAAGCACUAGUCAUCAGCUAAUGUUGAUUAUGUCCCUGCCCUUUGUACACACCGCCCGUCGCUACUACUGAUUGAACGGUUUAGUGAGGGCCUCGGAUUGGUCUCGGCCCGCUCUUUACCGGGCGGCGCCGUUGGUCGAGAAGACGCUCGAACUUGAUCGUUUAGAGGAAGUAAAAGUCGUAACA
rnacentral:rRNA from 1 species